rnacentral:rRNA from 1 species
AUUGAACGCUGGCGGCAGGCCUAACACAUGCAAGUCGAGCGAGCGGCGGACGGGUGAGUAAUGUCUGGGAAACUGCCUGAUGGAGGGGGAUAACUACUGGAAACGGUAGCUAAUACCGCAUACCAUCAGAUGUGCCCAGAUGGGAUUAGCUAGUCGGUGGGGUACUGGCUAACCUAGGCGACGAUCCCUAGCUGGUGUGAGAGGAUGACCAGCCACACUGGAACGGAGACACGGUCCAGAGUCCGACGGGAGGCAGCAGUUGGGAAUAUUGAACAAUGGGCGCAAGCCUGAUGCAGCAAUGCCGCGUGUAUGAAGAAGGCCUUCGGGUUGUAAAGUACUUUCAGCGAGGAGGCGUUACUCGAAGAAGAAGCACCGGCUAACUACGUGCCAGCAGCCGCGGUAAUAC